GGUUCGAUUCGGCUCAGAUUGAACGCUGGCGGGAUGCUUGCUACGGUUACUGAACGCGCAUGACUACUCAGUGGCGAGUGGCGAACGGGUGAGUAAUAUCGAAUCGUGCCUUGAAGGGAUAACUACGCGAAAGCGUAGCUAAUACUGCACAUUGGCCCUUCGGGGAAAGCGGGGGACCUUCGGGCCUCGCACUAUUAGAGCGGGCUGAUAUCGGAUUAGCUAGUUGGUGGGGUAACGGUGGCUCACCAAGGCGACGAUCCGUAGCUGGUUUGAGGACGACCAGCCACACUGACUGGUGAUGACGCCCGAUCACGGAGGCAGUGGGGAAUUUUGGACAAUGGGGAAACCUCAUCCAGCCAUCUCCGUGUGUAAGAUGAAGGCCUUCGUCAAAGCACUUUUGGCAGGAAAGAAACGGCAAUGGGAUAAUACCCCGUGCAACUGACGGUACUCUUGCAGAAUAAGCACCGGCUAACUACGCCAGCAGCCGCGGUAAUACGUAGGGUAAGCGUUAAUCAACGACGCCAGGCGUAAAGCGUGCGCAGGCGGUUCGGAAAGAAAGAUGAAAUCCCAGAGCUUAACUUUGGAACUUGCAUUUUUAACUACCGAUGGAGUGUGUCAGGAGGAGGAAUUCCGUGUAGCAGUGGAAUGCGAAGAUAUGAGGAAUACCGAUAUAGCGGCAGCUCGGGAUAACACUGACGCCUGCACGAAAGCGUGGGGGAGAGCAAACAGGAUUAGAUACCCUGGUAGUCCACGCCCCAAACGAUGUCAACUAUUGUUGAAGCUUAUCACAGAAAGGCUGACCGGCAUAUUGACCGUCUGGGGAGUACGGUCGUAAGAUUAAACUCAGCGAAUUGACGGGGACCCGCACAAGCGGUGGAUGAUGUGGAUUAAUUCGAUGUAAACGCGAAAACCUUACAUCAGCCUUUGACAUGUCUGGAAUCCCGAAGAGAUUUGGGAGUGUCGCAAGAGAAUCCGGAACACAGGUGCUGCAUGGCUGUCGUCAGCUCGUGUCGUGAGAUGUUGGGUUAAGUCCCGCAACGAGCGCAAAUUCCUGUCAUUAGUUGCUACGAAAGGGCACUUGACGAGAUCAUGGUGACAAACCGGAGGAAGGUAGAUAUCGCUUUCAAGUCCUCAUGGCUCUGCGGGUAGGGCUUCACACGUCAUACCAGGUCGUAACAGAGGGUCGCCAACCCGCGGGGAGCCAAUCCCAGAAACCCGAUCGUAGUCCGAUCAUCAGCCUGCAACUCGACUGCGUGAAGUCGGAAUCGUUGGUGAACGCGGAUCAGAUGUUGCGGCAGCGAUGCCCAGUCUGUACACACCGCCCGUCACACCAUGGGAGUGGGUUUUACCAGAAGUAGUUAGCCUAACCGUAAGAGAGGCGACGUCAACACGGAUCGCGAUCAGUAUAAGUCGGGAACAAGGUAA
rnacentral:rRNA from 1 species